GUCGCCAAGCAGCAGAGCCUUCCUCCUUAAAAGGGAUGAUGCCUGAUCUGCAGACCUUAAAAAUGAUCCUAUUUUCAGACUGACUUCUUCAAAGGGGCGGCGUCUACCUUCGCAAGGGGCUCGUGACUGCUCUGACCACCAAAGCACAGCAGAAGUGAUAC